UACGGAGGGUGCAAGCGUUAUCCGGAUUCACUGGGUUUAAAGGGUGCGUAGGUGGGCAGUUAAGUCAGUUGUGAAAUCUCCGGGCUUAACUCGGAAAGGUCAACUGAUACUGUGCGGCUAGAGUGCAGAAGGGGCAACUGGAAUUCUCGGUGUAGCGGUGAAAUGCGUAGAUAUCGAGAGGAACACCUGCGGCGAAGGCGGGUUGCUGGGCUGACAGUCACGUGAUGCGCGAAAGCCAGGGGAGCGAACGGG
rnacentral:rRNA from 1 species